rnacentral:rRNA from 1 species
UGGGGAAUUUUGGACAAUGGGGGCAACCCUGAUCCAGCAACGCCGCGUGAGGGAUGAAGGCUUUCGGGUCGUAAACCUCUUUUAUAGGGGACGAAUCGCUCCGUGAAUAACGGAGUUUGACGGUACCCUGUGAAUAAGCCACGGCUAACUACGUGCCAGCAGCCGCGGUAAUACGUAGGUGGCAAGCGUUACUCGGAAUUACUAGGCGUAAAGCGCAGGUAGGCGGUUUGGCAAGUCCGUAAUGAAAUCUCCCGGCUUAACUGGGAGGGGUUUAUGGAUACUGCCAGGCUCGAGUGUGGUAGAGGUAACUGGAAUUCCCGGUGUAGCGGUGAAAUGCGUAGAGAUCGGGAGGAACACCUAUGGCGAAAGCAGGUUACUGGACCAAUACUGACGCUGAGCUGCGAAAGCUAGGGGAGCAAACAGGAUUAGAUACCCCUGUAGUCC